AUGAGAGCCCUCACUGCCGCCACAAUCUCCUCCCCGAUACGCGCCCUCCUCCUCCUCCACCCCUCCUUCCCCUCAACCUUCCGCCUCCCUCCCACCAUGAACCCCUCCUCCUCCUCUGGCUACCGCUCCAAUGCUGCCGCCUUUGCCUCCACGCACCAGCCGCGUGGCGGCCGUGGCGGUGGCAGGCGGCCGGGUGGACGUGGCGGCGGCGGCGGUGGCGACGGCGGAAACCGCAUCGACGCCCUCGGCCGCCUCCUGACGAGGGUCUUGCGGCACAUGGCGCCGGAGCUGAGGCUGAACAUGAGGAGCGAUGGCUAUGUGCGGGUCCGCGACCUGCUCCGCCUCAACCUGGAGACCUUCGCCAAGGUUCCGCUCAACUCCCACACGGUGGAUGAAAUCAGGGAGGCGGUCAGGCGAGACAACAAGCAGAGAUUUGGUCUGUUGGAGGAGGAUGGCGAGCUGCUGAUUCGAGCUAACCAGGGGCACACUGUGACAACUGUUACAUCAGAGAGCUUGUUGAAACCAAUUCUAUCGGCUGAUGAAGUCUCAGUCUGUGUCCAUGGAACUUACAGGAAAAAUGUUGAUUCAAUACUGAAAUAUGGGCUUAAACGUAUGGCAAGGCUACAUGUACAUUUCUCAAGUGGUUUACCAUCGGAUGGGGGAGUUAUUAGUGGUAUGCGGAGUGGCGCAAACAUAUUGAUAUAUUUGAAUGUCAGAAAGGCACUGCAAGACGGGAUGAAGCUAUACAUCUCAGACAACAAGGUGAUACUGACGGAGGGCUUCGACGGCGUCGUCCCCGUCAAGUACUUCGAGAAGAUCGAAACUUGGCCAGGACGUGCACCGAUACCGUUCCAGAGGUAG
rnacentral:rRNA from 1 species